rnacentral:rRNA from 1 species
CCCUUAGAUGUUCUGGGCCGCACGCGCGCUACACUGAUGCAUUCAACGAGCCUAUCCUUGACCGACAGGUCCGGGUAAUCUUUGAAUCUGUAUCGUGACGGGGAUAGAUUAUUGCAAUUAUUAAUCUUCGACGAGGAAUGCCUAGUAGGCGCAAGUCAUCAGCUUGCGUCGAUUACGUCCCUGCCCUUUGUACACACCGCCCGUCGCUCCUACCGAUUGGGUGUGCUGGUGAAAUGUUCGGAUCGGCCGUUUGUCGCGGUUUCCGCGGCUCGUGGCUGAGAAGUUCAUUAAACCCUCCCACCUAGAGGAAGGAGAAGUCGUAACA